CAGCCGCCACGGUAAUACGUAGGGUGCGAGCGUUAAUCGGAUUUACUGGGCGUAAAGCGUGCGCAGGCGGCCCGUUAAGACAGGUGUGAAAUCCCUGGGCUCAACCUAGGAAUUGCGCUUGUGACUGGCGGGCUCGAGUACGGUAGAGGGGGGUGGAAUUCCUGGUGUAGCAGUGAAAUGCGUAGAGAUCAGGAGGAACACCGAUGGCGAAGGCAGCCCCCUGGGCCUGUACUGACGCUCAUGCACGAAAGCGUGGGGAGCAAACAGGAUUAGAUACCCUGGUAGUCCACGCCCUAAACGAUGGGUACUAGCCGUUUGGUGCGCGAUAGCGCUGAGUGGCGAAGCUAACGCGUGAAGUACCCCGCCUGGGGAGUACGGCCGCAAGGUUGAAACUUAAAGGAAUUGGCGGG
rnacentral:rRNA from 1 species